GGUAGAUCAGACAAAAAAACCAAAGAACCGCGUCGGCCCUGAAGGCAGCACGUCAGUCCACCGGGACAGGGUCCGGUGAGUCACGUGGUCCAGGCCCGUGUGGUAGUUUGAUAGCUCUGGCGCGAGGGAGACGACCUCCAUCGAUCCACAGUGAACCAGUGCUCACACAGCCCUCUCUAUUUGCAUGCAUGUGGAUCCAGCAAACAAACGGGCUUCAGUGUUCAUCUCCGAAGAUAGAACAGAGGCACAAAGCUCGUGCCCAUGGGUACACAAAUGCCACAAGAAUCCUGUGCUGUGAUUACUGCCUGCAGUCACAAGGUCAAGCCGGUGACUCAAACAGUGAUCCCAGAAGACACCACUUUCCCAUGAGACAUGAGAAAGGCCAGGACAACCAACAAGCAGGACCUCUGCUAGCAAUCACGGCAGGAGAAACACCCCGUGGGCUGGAGCCCCUUGGAGAUGUACACUCAGCAGCAGAAGAGGAUCAAAGCCUAUAGCGAAGAAAAUAGAUCAGAUUAACGAAACCAAGCUGUUUCUGCAGCUCAGAGACGUGACCGUGAUAGUGACCAUGAUGGCUAAAUCUGCUUGUCCACAAAUAUUGUAUUGUUGUAAAGUUUUUCUUUGGUAUUGUGAACAUAAGAUUUAUGGCCUUAACUCUGACGUCCAAAAGCAUGCUGAACCAAAUGAGUGUUUUGCUGUCUGGGUCCAACUCAAGAAUCGCUCAUCUUAUCUGCUUCACAUUUGGCAUGUGUAUUGUUAGGAGUCCAGGGAAGUGCAGAGUUAAAUUUGCAGUGGCGUAAUUGAUGUUGUCGAUCAUGACAACAAUGUGUUCGGGGUUCUGCAUGCUGAGUGGUGCCUCACUGCACUUUGAGUAAACAGGUGAACAGCUCUUUGUGCAUUAAUGGUGGUGCAGCUUCAGGGUUCUACGAACUGAAUCUCACAGUCGCUCUUUACUUGCUGCUGCUCAAUUACUGCAGGAGAUCGAACCAAAAUUAGCAAAGUUGGUGGGUAUCUAUCACCACUGUAAAUGACCCAUUCACAUACAGGUUGAUCAUAUGAAAUAUUGAUUGCAACAGCUUCGAGUGAAAAUGUUACUCUCACAAUGGCCUGCAUCGUUUAACAUGUGGAUGAGAAAUCUUAGUUUCAUUUGUUAUUUUUUAAAUUUUAUCCCACUGCCUAAAACUUUUAGAGUGACUACAUUUUUUAUAAAUACAAAUACCAUACUGCCAUAUCAGUUACACAGCCUAUCUUUCCAUUGUUGAGACAUUGCACCAGGUGAAACAUACUGAUAGCGGCACUACACACAGCAUGACAGGCAGAGGAAAUGAAGCAGAACCAUAGAUCAGAGUGAGGAGGAGGCUCUCUGAAGGACGAAUUUGUCAAGCGUCCCUCGACCCACAUGCAGAUAGAUUGGAGGCAGUCUCAUUAAAAAUAAUUGUCCUUGAAACGUAUGCCCAUCCAGACCCUGAGGAAUACCUUUGGCUCUCAGGGUUGGUAAUUGAAGCUGACCACAGUAAAUCAGCCCCAGUGGUUGUUGUGUCGACAACCUGGGAGAAGAUUAAGCUGGUAUCUCAGCAUCGGGAGAAACCUGGAUUUACUGCACAAAAUAACAGUCACAGACAACAUAAGUCAAGCUAAAUGGAUGUGUGUGUCUUUGUGUGUUGAUGUUUGUUGCAGUGUGUAACAGGAAGUAGUGCACUGAUCAGUAUGAUUACACGCUGCACCCUGAGAAAAGAAACGGGCUUAUUAACCUUUGCUGUGAGAGUUAAAUAUUGGUAAUAAAUUGUACAUAUACAUCUCAGAUUACUAAAAUGGCAUGACCUUUCUCGGAAUCAUUGAAGUAGCUGCGUUUCUUUUCUUAGCCUGGGCCCACAAUUAAGAUUUUCAUCGUCGUCUCGAGGGCCUGUCAGAUG